AAUGAGUGCGCUAGAGCAGCGCGGCCGUGCCCGCAAGCAGAGGGGAUCCAUGCGGGUAGUUACAGAUGAUGUGUGUGUCCAUGCAUGUUAACACGCCUCAAGACCGGUAGCCCGGCAGGAAGCACGGCAAACCCCAGCAAAGCCCGCUUCGCGCCGGGCGCCUCAGCCAGCGUGCAAAGCCAGACACCACGUGACGCCGCGCAGAGCCCGCCAGACCGCGCACGUGGCAGGCAUGCCGCGGCCUCGUGAGCUGCAGCAGAACGGCACGGGCUGAUUGGCUGGGGCGUGUCCCUCCCCGCCAAUCAGCAGACGGCAGGAGGAAAGUUUCCCCCCACGUGCCCCAGAGACAAGGUGCCGAAGUAUCGCUGAGGGGGACUGACCCCCUCCCUCGAGGUUUCCUAUUGGUCCCCCAUCAGGGGCGGGGCCUCCAGAAAGAAUAAAAGUCCGCGUGCCGCGCACACGGGCGGACUCGGUGACGGACGGCGACGGAGGGCACAGAAGAGCUGGGAGAGCUGGCCAGCGGGGGGGGGGGAGCCGUAACCCCAGAAGCGCCCUGAAGCGGCAGCGGCGCCUGCCUCACCGCAGCACGAGGAGGGCUGAGAAGAGCUGGUAGAGCUGGCCAGCGGGGGGGAGCCGUAACCCCAGAAGCGCCCUGAAGCGGCAGCGACGCCUGCCUCACCGCGGCACGAGGAGGGCGGAGAACAGCUGGCCAGCGGCGGGGAGCGCUAACCCCGGAAGACCUGAAGAGGCGGCGGCGCCCCGAGGAGGUGAGGCGGAGCCCCCUGCCCGCUCUGUGCCGGGGUGGGCGGGGCGGGGGCGGGGCACGGGCUGCAGCUGGGGACCUACGGCCCCUCUGCAGGCCCGGGGCUGUGAAAGGCUGUGGGGAGUGACGUCCCGAGCCACGUGGGUGCUGCGUGGCUCGUAGCACCUGUCAAGCACCGGUGACCCGCGGGGUGGGCAGCGGCCGGGCUUGCACGCGUCCAGUUCUUCCCUGAAGGCACCAUUUGGGGGCAGUGGGCGAGGUCCCCGGGCCUCGGCCGCAGCUUUCCCUUAAGGUGUCCUUCAGGGGGGCGGAGGCUCAGGUUCGUAGUCAGCUCCACUGCUCCCUUAACGUGUCAUUGGGGGGGCGGCAGGCAGGGCUGGUUUGUCUCUGUCCGCGGUCCUCUCUUAAGGCAUGGUUUGGGUCCGCGGUGGGGAGGGCCGGAGGACCCCCGCAGUCCUCCCUUAGGGUGUCAUUUGUGGGGGCAGCGGCAAGGUCUGUAGGCCCCCGCUGUCCUCCCUUAAGAUACCAUUCGGGUUGGCAGUGGGUCUGGUCUGAACCCCUGUAGUUCUCAUUUCCUGCCUUUGGGGGGGGGCAGCGGGCCAGGCCCGUGGGGCUUGGCCCGCGGCCCCUUCUUAAGGCAUCACUUGGGGCUGCAGUGGGCGAGGGCCUGGAGGUCGCCGCUGUCUGCUUGGGGUCAUCUUGCCGAGCUGCGGUGUGGUGCUGCCCUGCUCGCAAACGGGUCAAGCACUGACAGUCUUUCACACCCCCAAGCCCGAGCCACGGUGUGGUGCUGCCUAGCUCUGUGGGCGGUCAAGCACUGGUGGUCACUUGAGGGGGCUUGUGCCCUCUCAAGGCCAUCCCAUGGGGAAGCACGAGCACAGGGGGUGCCGCCGAAGAAAACCAGCAGAGAAAACAACGCAAAAGCAGGUGUGAGCCAGCCUGCUAUUUAAUGGACAAAUAAAAUUGAUCUGCCAGGCACCUGGUUGGUGUCUGGUGCCUUUCAUCUCCAAGUUCAUCCUUCCCCGCUGCGCUGUUUCUCUCAUCUCUUUUCCUGUUACUUCACAUCCAAGUUUCCCCGCCCGCUGCCCCCUUUAAUUUCUGCAGUGGUUCCCUUGUAACCACUGUGUGUGUCCUGAGCGUGUGCUGAGCGUGUCCGAGCUGGUCGUCCAGGAUGCUGAAUCCCUUGCUGAUAAGGGAUUGAUGGAAGACAUCGUUUGCCUGGACCGGCCACCUGAGGCUGCAGCCCCGAAUCCCGCGAGACCGGUCCCCUUUGAGGGUCGAUGCGCAUCGCCCCAGGAAGGACAAGCAGACGGGAUGGCAGGCGAGCAGCAGCGAGCUGACCAGGAGGGAGGAAGGCCAGGCCAGCCAAACAGGAGAUAAAGGCCUCGGAAGAACGGGAAGGAGACGCGGAUGGGGAAAGCAGCAGGGAAGAGGCGAGGUAGGAGAAAAGCCAGUCAGAGAAACAGGAUGUGAAGGGAAGGGACUCUGGACAGAGUGGCAUCCCUGCCUUCAGGUCUCGAUCAUGUCUUAGCCAAAUUUGGGCUUUGUGAGCCUUUGGGCGAGCUCCCUGUAACUCAGAAACGAGUCUCUGCCCUUGAUGUUGCACUUUUGCAGCAGUCAGGUGGAAGGCGGACAACCCUGUAAUCGAGGUGUGUCCCCACCACCAUGUUUGUGAAGGCCGUGGAUCUGGUUAGUGGUCUUGCACAGCACUGCCCCACCCUGUCAUCAGAGUCGAGGCCAGCUGUCAGACCUGGCUGCCAAUUGCACAGCAACCCGUAAGUGGGGUGCAUGCUGCUUUCUAACAUGAGAAAAAAUGGCUAGCGCUGGACAUCCUGUAAUUGGGAGUCAAAGUCCACUGCUAUUCCUGGCCAGUCGAAGAGGAGCCCCUGUAAGCGGGGUGGACGUAGCCGCCUUCCACUGGCCUUAGAGAGCCGGAGCAGUUUGCAGCGUUGUGCCGCAGGGCAGCCUUGCACACCAGAGCCGAGCGUCAUGGGGUGACAGCCAACUUUUUAGACCCCAGAACUUGAUGACUUUCCCGUAGUCUGGGUUGAAGUCUGUGGCCUUCUCUCCCCGUGUCCAGGCACCUGUCCUUUUUCAUGCAUCUGUGUCUGACUCCACGUCUGGACCCCUGGGCCGCCCUGUAACAAGGGUGCAAGUCCCGUGCCCCUGGUGGAAGGCUAAAUAGCGCAGAGCAGUGGACAGCCCUGUAAGCAGGGUCCAGCUCUCUGUCGCUUUGGGGACAGCCCUGUCCUUUGCCUGGCCUGGUGGCCCCCCCUGUAAGCAGGGCUGUGGUCCUCUCCCUUUUGCCCCCCAUGGGCAGCCUGACUAGCCAGGCGGGCCGGGCCCUGUAACGAGGGCACCGGUCUCAGCCUUGUCGCCCCCUGGGAGCGGAGGAGGACUUUCAGUGUAAGGCUCGAGGUCAAGCAGUUUGCAGCAUCAAGCUCCUUUCCAGCCUGGGAACACUUUUUACCCUUGUGAGAGUGUGGAGAGCGAGAGAGGAGCGCCUGGGAACGAAAGCGUUUGUUAUUUUCUUUUUGUUGUUAAAAUCGCUGCAGCGUACUUUGUUUUCUUCCCAGUGCUGGGAAAGGGGCGAGAUGCGUCCUCGUAGCCUUCUCCUCCCACCUCCAUACCUAGGGGGACGGAUUUCCAGGCCUUUUGGUCUCAGGGAGCAUUAGGUCCCCUCUCUAAUAAUUUUGGGCAUACGGCCUCCCUGUAGUUCAGGGUACAGGCCUUAGGCCUCCUCUUUUUGGGGUCCUUUGGGCACUUUGUAGCUCUUGCAGUUCCUGCCCUCCUUGAGAGACAGCCACGUGUUCACCAGCCGAGUCCCUGGGGACGAGUGCCCUGGCACUUGGCCAGCCCUUGCUCUGCGCCCCCGCCCCCGGCCUGCAGCCUGUAAGCAGGGUCCAAGCCCCCUUGCUUCUCCGGGUUGGGUCUCGUCCCACUCGGUGAGGUUGGCCACAGAUGAUCCCCACAGACUGCAGGGAAGGUUGCAGGCUUGUGGAGGAUACUGGGUGCGCUGGGACCCCUGAGGCUUCGUGACCUUCCUGUAACUCAGGUCCAGGACUCUGCUCUGCUGCUCCUGGCACCUUGAGAUGGUCUCGUCUCGCACCCUGUAAACAGGGCUGUGCCCCCCCAGCCCCUCUUACCUUGGGGGAGGAGGCUUCCUUUAGCCCUUUGGGCUCUGUGCCCAUCAUGAUGGGUGGCUGAAGCCAUAACUUUUGUGUCCCCAGACACGAGGCUGCUUUGAGCCCUGAUUGAGACGGCCUGAGGCACCCGUCAGCUGGCAUUCAGGGCUUUACAGGUUUUCUCUGGGCUUCAUGCCCCGCAGCCAGCUGUGUGGAGGGAGCACCGCCCUGUAAGCAGGGUUGCUGGUGUCUGUGGUCACCUUCAUGGUGCCGUCCUAGCACUUCUGUCCGGAGUCCUGGCCCGUCGCGCUCUGGUCCUGGCUGGCCCAGGUGUCGGCAGCCCAGACCACAGACAUGUGACGUCCCCCAUCUCCACGGAUAGAGAGGACAGAUUGGCACCAGAUUCAGGCCCUGAUAGGAGCAGCUGGAAAGGUGGCGCACAAGCAGGAGUCAGCAGACAAGGAGGGAGGAAAACCAUGCAAAGCUGCCAGAUGGACGAGCAGCAGGCGAACCACACCAGGGCGGAAAGCCAGGAAAAUGGGAUGCGAAGGGAAAGGACUCUGGACAGAGUGAUCUCCCUGCCUUCAAGUAUCAGUCAUGUAUUAGCCAAAUUUUGGCUGCAUGAGCUCUCUGUAACGCAGUAACGAGCUUGUGCGUUUGAUGCUGUUGCACUUGUGUGGCAGUCGGGUGGAAGUGGACAACCCUGUAAGCAAGGCGUGUGUCACCGCCACCUCCUUUGUAAAGAGUGUGGAUCUACUCAGUGGUCUUGCGCAGUGGGGCCGCCCUGUAAGCGGGGCCCGGGCCAGCUGCCAGACAUGACUGCCAGGGGCGCAGCCUCCUGUGAGUAGGGUGCAUGGUGUGUCUUACCGUGUAAGAAUGACAGGCACUUUGAAUGUUCCUAGCAUUGGACGUCCUGUAAUUGGGAGUCAAAGUCCACUGCUGUUCCCAGCCAGUCGGAGAGGAGCCCCUGUAAGCAGGGUGGACGUAGCCUCUUUCCACUGGCGUAGGCAGCCGGAGCAGUCUGCAGCGCUGUGCUGAAGGGCGGCCUCGCGUAUUGGAGCCGAGUCUCGUGGGGUGACGGCAAACUCCUUAGACCCCAGAGCUUGAUGACCUUCCCGUGGUCUGGGUUGAAGCCUGUGGCCUCCUUCCCAAUCCUUGUGUCCAGGCACCUGUCCUUUUUCAUGCAUCUAUGCCUGGCACUCCACAUCCAGACAGCUGGGCCACCCUGUAAGGAGGGUGCGAGUCCCACGUCCCUUGGUGCAGGGUUAGAUUGCGCAGAGCUGUGGACCCCCCUGUAAGCAGGGUCCAGGUCUCAAUGUGCCUUUGAGGGCAGCCCUGUCCUUGGUCUGGCUGUGGGCCCCGCCUGUAAGCAGGGCUGUGGGCCUUUCCCUUUUGCCCCUCUUGGGCAGUGGCAAGUGAGAUGGACUGUGCCCUGUAAGGAGGGUGCGAGUCCCACGUUUCUUGGUGGACGGCUAAAUUGUGCAGAGCUGUGCACCACCCUGUAAACAGGGCCCAGGUCUCUAUGUGCCUUUGAGCACAGCCCUGUCCUUUGCCAGGCCUGACCGCCCCCUCUGUAAGCAGGGCUGUGGGCCUUUCCCUUUUGCCUGUCUUGGGCAGUGUGGCAAGUGAGAUGGACCGUGCCCUGUAACGAGGGUGCGAGUCCCGUGUCUCUUGGUGGAGGGCUAGAUAGCGCAGAGCAGUGGACCACCCUGUAAGCAGGGUCCAGGUCUCAAUGUGCCUUUGGGGACAGCUCUGUCUUUUGGCUGGCUGUGGCCCUCCUUGUAAGCAGGGCUAUGGGCCUUUCCCUUUUGCCCCUCUUGGGCAGCGUGGCUAGUCACACGGACUGUGCCCUGUAACGAGGGUACGAGUCCUGUGCAUCCUGUUGCACGCCUAGGUUCUGCAGAGCUGUGGCCUGCCCUGUAAGCAGGGUUCAGGUCUCUACGUGCCUUUGGGAACAGCCCUGUCCUUUGCCCGGCCUGGCGACCCGCCCUGUAAACAGGGCUCUGGGCCUUUGCCUUCUCUCCACCGUGGGCAGUGUGGCCAGUGAGAUGGACCGUGCCCUGUAACGAGGGUGCGAGUCCCGUGUCUCUUGGUGGAGGGCUAGAUUGCGCAGAGCAGUGGACCACCCUGUAAGCAGGGUCCUGGUCUCAAUGUGCCUUUGGGGACAGCUCUGUGUUUUGGCUGGCUGUGGCCCUCCUUGUAAGCAGGGCUAUGGGCCUUUCCCUUUUGCCUCUCUUGGGCAGUGUGGCUAGUCACACGGACUGUGCCCUGUAAUGAAGGUACGAGUCCUGUGCAUCCUGUUGGACACUUGGGUUCUGCAGAGCUGUGGCCUGCCCUGUAAGCAGGGUUCAGGUCUCUACGUGCCUUUGGGGACAGUCCUGUCCUUUGCCAGGCCUGACGGCCCUACCUGUAAGCAGGGUUAUGGGCCUCUCCCUUUUGCCCCCCGUGGGCAGCCUGACUAGCCAGGCGGGCCGUGCCCUGUAACGAGGGUGCUGGUCUCAGUUUUCUUGCCCCCUGGGAGCGGAGGAGGACUUUCAGUGUAAGGUUGGAGGUCAAGCAGUUUGCAGCAUCGAGCUCCUUUCCAGCCUGGGAACACAUUUUACCCUUGUGAGAGUGUGGAGAGCGAGAGAGAGGAGCGCCUGGGAGCGAAAGCAUUUGUUAUUUUCUUUUUGUUGUUAAAAUCGCUGCAGCGUACUUUGUUUUCUUCCCAGUGCUGGGAAAGGGGCGAGAUGCGUCCUCGUAGCCUUCUCCUCCCACCUCCAUACCUAGGGGGACGGAUUUCCAGGCCUUUUGGUCUCGGGGAGCAUUAGGCCCCCUCUCUAAUACUUUUGGGCACACGGCCUCCCUGUAGUUCGGGGUACAGGCCUUAGACCCCCUCUUUUUGGGGUCCUUCGGGCACUUGGUAGCUCGAUUGCAGUUCCUGCCCUCCUUGAGAGACAGCCACGUGUUCCCCAGCCGAGUCGCUGGGGACGAGUGCCCUGGCACUUGGCCAGCCCUUGCUCUGCGCCCCCGACCCCGGCCUGCAGCCUGUAAGCAGGGUCCAGGCCCCCUUGCUUCUCCGGGUUGGGUCUCAUCCCACUCGGUGAGGUUGGCCACAGAUGAUCCCCACAGACUGCAGGGAAGGUUGCAGGCUUGUGGAGGAUACUGGGCGCGCUGGGACCCCUGAGGCUUCGUGACCUUCCUGUAACUCAGGUCCAGGUCUCUGCUCUGCUGCUCCUGGCACCAUUGAGAUGGUCUCCUCUCGCACCCUGUAAACAGGGCUGUGCCCCCCCAGCCCCUCUGACCUUGGGGGAGGAGGCCUCCUUUAGUUAGCCCUUUGGGCUCUGUAGCAGCCACGAUGGGUGUCUGAAGUAAUGGCCUUUGUGUCCCCAGACACGAGGCUGCUUUGAGCCCUGAUUGAGACUGCCUGAUGCACCCGUCAGCUGGCAUUCAGGGCUUUACAGGUUUUCUCUGGGCUUCAUGCCCCGCAGCCAGCUGUGUGCAGGGAGCACCGCCCUGUAAGCAGGGUUGCCGGUGUCUGUGGUCACCUUCAUGGUGCCGUCCUAGCACUUCUGUCCGGAGUCCUGGCCCUUCACGCUCUGCUCCUGGCUGGCCCAGGUGUCGGCAGCCCAGACCACAGAUGUCUGCCCUCCCCACUUUCCACGGAUAGAGGACAGUGGCCACAGGUCCAGAGGAAGAAGCAGAGAAGACAACAGACAAAUAGGAGUUAACGUGUAACCAGGACAGAAAACAGUGCCAGCCCACAGGGAGACAAAGGUCCCUGAAGAGCAGCUGGAGAAGAAGGAACAGAAAGCAGGACCAGAAAGCUCAGAAACAACAAGUGUGGGUUGGUGUGGGCAGGAGGAAGAGACAUACAUGUUUAAUGUAUGCUUAGAUAUGUACAGAUGGAGACUGUUGUGUGCAUCUCUACACUUUCAAACACUCAGUUAGGAGCAAGCUGCUGCACGCUUCAAGUUGCACCAGGGACUCAGUCUUGGGUUGGUCCUAUUUGUAGGCAGUGAGGUUGAGGCAUUGUGUGUAUUUGGUUGGCUGUGAUUUGUAGGCAGUGAGGUUGAGGCAUUGUGCGUAUUUGGUUGGCCCUGAUUUGUAGGCAGUGAGGUUGAGGCGUUGUGCGUAUUUGGUUGGCUGCGAUUUGUAGGCAGUGAGGUUGAGGUGUUGUGCUAGUUGUGCGUAUUGAUAUGUGGCGGUCUAGGUUUUUGCAGGUUGGUUGCUGUUGCUAGUUUAGGAGUUGAUCAAAAUAGCUGUGACUGAAGGCAGUGUGUAGGGUUUUCUGGGUUGGGUUGUCAGUGUUGGUGGAGAAAUGCAGGGUUGUGCUCAGUUCGGUUAGUGGCUUGGCUGUAGCUUGCUUUAGCCGUAGGCUGUGGGGCCAGUUUGAGGCUGUUUGUGGUGCAAUUUGGUUGCGUCUGUAAGUUGAAGCUCCAUGGGUGUUUGAAAGGGUUCAUCUCCAUCCCCAUACAUGAAGAUCUCCUGUGUCCAAAUGAUCCUAGCGGUAGUUGGCGUGCUUAGUGUCAAACCGGAUGUGCACAGUCGAACAAUAAACAGUAUAAAAAGGCUUUUCCCCUUGCGCCUGGUGCUCUUCUACACUGAGAGGACUUGGCCAUUACCCGUUCCUGUUGUGAGCUGGCUGGAGGAAUAAUAAACUUCUUCAUUUUGUCUACUGAUCUGAUCUGUCUUGUUGAAUAAAAAUGUCCUGUUCUGAUUUAAAAAUGGUAAAAUAAUAUGACAGGUGAUGCCUAGUCCCCAAUUGACAACUGUAAAUGCACUGUAGGAAAUCAGUCCUGAUUUAUUUGAGAAAAUAAAAAAUAAUGUAAGGUGAAAUUGUGGUACGUGGCUGCAAUCUGUUGAAGUUCAGCUGUCCCUUUUCUCAAAAGAGAAAAAAAUGGUCCCAAUAAAAAGAAAAUGCUCAGAAAA